rnacentral:rRNA from 1 species
UCCGUAGGUGAACCUGCGGAGGGAUCAUUACCGAGUUAUACAACUCAUCAACCCUGUGAACAUACCUAAAACGUUGCUUCGGCGGGAACAGACGGCCCUGUAACAACGGGCCGCCCCCGCCAGAGGACCCCUAACUCUGUUUUUAUAAUGUUUUUCUGAGUAAACAAGCAAAUAAAUUAAAACUUUCAACAACGGAUCUCUUGGCUCUGGCAUCGAUGAAGAACGCAGCGAAAUGCGAUAAGUAAUGUGAAUUGCAGAAUUCAGUGAAUCAUCGAAUCUUUGAACGCACAUUGCGCCCGCCAGUAUUCUGGCGGGCAUGCCUGUUCGAGCGUCAUUACAACCCUCAGGCCCCCGGGCCUGGCGUUGGGGAUCGGCGGAAGCCCCCUGUGGGCACACGCCGUCCCUCAAAUACAGUGGCGGUCCCGCCGCAGCUUCCAUUGCGUAGUAGCUAACACCUCGCAACUGGAGAGCGGCGCGGCCAUGCCGUAAAACACCCAACUUCUGAAUGUUGACCUCGAAUCAGGUAGGAAUACCCGCUGAACUUAAGCAUAUCAAUAAGUCGGAGGAA